rnacentral:lncRNA from 1 species
GUCUUGGGAUGAACGCACAUCGGAUGGAGUGAUAGGGAAGUCGAAAGGAGCAUAGUUGGACAGAGUGCUGAAGAGGACAAAAAGCCACUGAGGUUUAAAAAACUGAUAGCGGAUUUGCUGUGAGCGGUGAAUGAAGGAUGAAUCUGUACAGGAGCUUUGGCAGCCUGCUGGAGACUUGGGUGACGGAGGGUUACCCCAUACUGGACUCACAGGGGCAACCCAGCGGGGGGGUGGAGGUGGAGGAGUUGGUGGAGGUAGUCUCAGGUGGUCAGGUGGAUGCCUUCAGGAGCAGCUCACGAGACUCUCUUCGGUUCUCUGGCGCCACAGCCCGCUCCGAAUCGGAGGACUCCGGCGUGGAGUUGGUGAGCCCUGGCAGUCCGUGGGCAUCCCAGCAGCACGUGAUGGCUGUGGCCCCUCAGGCCUCUGGUGCAGGGGAGUCCGAGGGGCGUGGUGAGAAGGUGGUGUCCUCAGGAGGGGGACAUCUACCCACAUGCCCGUCCUCCCCUGCCCUCUCCAUCCGCUCCUGCCCUUCUUCCCCAUCUUCGUCGUCCUCCUCCUCCUGCCAGUCUAUAGGGUCCAGCCUGUUGCCCCUGCCGACUGGCGCUCCCACCUCAGGGGCAAGAGUGGAGCAGGCACUGCGGCGGAUGGACCCGGUGCGCUGUCAGGUCCCGAGGCACAGCUCGUCGACGUCUUCGUGGUUGUCGAGCAGAGGUGACCCCGAUACCCUCCCAUGGAAGCACAGCAGCACAGCCAACCUCUCAGCAUGUUCAGCAACAGGCCCACAGGACUGCAGGAGUCAAAAGUCACGGAGCUUUGAACAGGGGGAGGAGCUGACCUCACCCUCCUUUCUUCCACAGACCACUGGAGUACAGGCAGCAGAGAAAAGGCUCCAGAUAGACCCCAACAGUAGGCCUAUAACACAACUGAUAAACAGACUUGAAACACAGCACACUAACCUGUCUUCAACACCACCGACCAGCAGGCUACAGGCACAGGCUCCCGGAGAAAAUGGCUGGGUGGAGCCCUCACCUGGAUUCCUCUACCUGGAGCAGGUGUGCCUCAUGCUGGAGAGGUUCGCCCAACUGCAGAUGCACAGCCGUGGGCUCCAGAUGGAGAGAGAACAUCUCAGGAACCAGCAGAACCACAGCAUAACCAACAGAAUACAGCACAGCCCUCAGCCCUCUACAGUAAGGCAAUGCUCCAAUUUCCACACCAAUGAGGCUGUCAGUCGAAAACACAACAAAAAAACAAAAAAAAAGCACGAAGCGACUAUAUCGUCUGAUGGGCACGACAACCUGGGAGAGCUCCGCCAAAGAUCCAGGUCCGAUGCGGGGAUGCUGACGCCAUAUCGCCAUCAACGAAGGCUGAGCAAGAGUAUUGGAAACCUUCUGGAGGAAGAUGAGGAGGAGACAGUAGCUCUCAGGACAGCGGUAUGUAUAUGUGCCUUAUUCCUGUUUGAGUGUGUGUGUGUGUGA